rnacentral:ribozyme from 14 species
GACCGAGUUGGCUCCGCUGGGAAAGUCAGAGACCCUGGCCACAAAGUCCUUGACGUUCAACUUGCUUCCAUCAGGACGACGGACAUCCUCAGAGAAGUUGGCCGUGA